ACACUGAGGGUUCAGUGGUAGAAUCUUCAUCUUCCACGUGGGAGAUCCAAGUUCGAUUCCCGGCCAGUGCA
rnacentral:tRNA from 1 species